UUCUUGUGUGAAUCCCUUGAACUUUUCAAGAGUUUCAUGUUUGAGCUUUCAUCAAGUGUACAUGAUCAUUGAUGAAAUAAGAGAAACAUUAUCUGACAUAAAUUGAUACGAAUCCAUAUGCAUCACCAUGCAUUAGACCAGUAAUUAUGCUGAUCUUUCUUCUUUUCAAAUAAAAGAAGAUUUGGUCAAUGUGCCAAACAUGCAUAAUUUGUUUUUGUCAAAAUCAAUUAAUCCCAAGUAUACAUCUUUAUGUAACUUUGGAAUUACAUUUCAUCUAAAUGAUAAAGUCUGUCAUGCCAGAUUUUGGUAAUACUUAGAUUAUAGUAUUUAUGUCUUAUAAUUUCUAUACUUAUUAUAGAAUCUUUAGUAUUAAAGAAUAUAAAUGUCGUUUUAUAAUUUACCAUAGCCAUUAGGAUCUUUAACAAGAUAAACAAGAACAACAAUUGUCCUU
rnacentral:lncRNA from 1 species